AACGAACGCUGGCGGCAUGCCUAACACAUGCAAGUCGAACGAGACCUUCGGGUCUAGUGGCGCACGGGUGCGUAACGCGUGGGAACCUGCCCUUAGGUUCGGAAUAACUCCCCGAAAGGGGUGCUAAUACCGGAUAAUGUCUUCGGACCAAAGAUUUAUCGCCUUUGGAUGGGCCCGCGUUGGAUUAGCUAGUUGGUAGGGUAAAAGCCUACCAAGGCGACGAUGCAUAGCUGGUCUGAGAGGAUGAUCAGCCACACUGGGAAUGAGACACGGCCCAGACUCCUACGGGAGGCAGCAGUGGGGAAUAUUGGACAAGGGGCGAAAGCCUGAUCCAGCAAUGCCGCGUGAGUGAUGAAGGCCUUAGGGUUGUAAAGCUCUUUUACCCGGGAUGAUAAUGACAGUACCGGGAGAAUAAGCUCCGGCUAACUCCGUG
rnacentral:rRNA from 1 species